ACUGUGCGAAGGUAGCAUAAUAAUUAGUUUUUUAAUUGAGAACUGGUAUGAAUGGUUGGACGAGAGAAUAGCUGUCUCAAUUUAAUUUGAAUUAGAAUUUUAUUUUUAAGUUAAAAAGCUUAAAUUUUUUUAAAAGACGAGAAGACCCUAUAGAGUUUUAUAUUAAAUUCAUAUUUAAUUUAUAAAGUAUUAUACUUAUUUUAUUUGAAUUUAGUAUUUUAUUGGGGCGAUAUAAAAAUUUAAUAAACUUUUUAUUCUUUAUUACAUUGAUAUAUGAUUUUAUGAUCCAUUAUUUAUGAUUAAAAGAUUAAAUUACCUUAGGGAUAACAGCGUAAUUUUUUUUUAGAGUUCUUAUCGAAAAAAAAGUUU
rnacentral:rRNA from 1 species